rnacentral:lncRNA from 12 species
GUCUCAGCUCCUGGGGUCAUGACAACACUCGUGACAACAGCUCCCCUGUUUCAGGUGCCACUGGGCUCCGCUGCAAGGUUUGGGCGCACUAUCCGCAACUUGAGUUUGAGCAUCAUGAAGAGGUCCGGUUUCCAGGCCAGUGAACAGGAAGCUGCUUCCAUGGCAUCUUCUGCUUAGCUGAGAGGUAUUUGCAUGGUGAAGCCUGGGGUUGUAAGGCUUUCGGCCCAUGUUUGUGCCUCUCAAGAAGCACCUGUUUUUCUCCAUCUAUUCGUUCAACAAUUUUAUUGAGUGCCUGAUAUGUGUCACAUCUUGCCUUCACUUCUUACCCUGCCAACCACCUGUCACUGAAGAAAUAAUGCUCUGCUGGUCCCUCCAACUCGAAACUGCAACAAGUAAGAUGCCCCGUGGCUGCUGCCCAGUAGGCAAGUGCUCCAGCUUUGCAGGACUUUCAGAGGGAAAUGUUGGCCUAUAUGUAAAGCCAAGUGGGAACAAGCACAGUGGAUGUCCAAGACAGCCUGAGUCCCCAACUUCCUAUGUUAGAAAACAGACUGGCUUCAAAAGUAAGUGGGAGGCUCAGCAUGCAACGGGGGUAGGGUUGAACCACACAGCUGCUGUGGCCAGGAUGGGCAGCAGCAGAGCAAAGACCCAUGCUCAGGAAUUCCUGACUCUGAGAGGACCCUCGUAA